rnacentral:rRNA from 1 species
CAGUGGCGAACGGGUGAGUAACACGUGGGCAAUCUGCCCUGCACUCUGGGACAACACCGGGAAACCGGUGCUAAUACCGGAUAUGACGCAUCUCUGCAUGGGGGUGCGUGGAAAGCUCCGGCGGUGCAGGAUGAGCCCGCGGCCCUAUCAGCUUGUUGGUGGGGUGAUGGCCUACCAAGGCGACGACGGGUAGCCGGCCUGAGAGGGCGACCGGCCACACUGGGACUGAGACACGGCCCAGACUCCUACGGGAGGCAGCAGUGGGGAAUAUUGCACAAUGGGCGAAAGCCUGAUGCAGCGACGCCGCGUGAGGGAUGACGGCCUUCGGGUUGUAAACCUCUUUCAGCAGGGAAGAAGCGCAAGUGACGGUACCUGCAGAAGAAGCACCGGCUAACUACGUGCCAGCAGCCGCGGUAAUACGUAGGGUGCGAGCGUUGUCCGGAAUUAUUGGGCGUAAAGAGCUCGUAGGCGGCCUGUCGCGUCGGAUGUGAAAGCCCGGGGCUUAACCCCGGGUCUGCAUUCGAUACGGGCAGGCUAGAGUUCGGUAGGGGAGAUCGGAAUUCCU